GGGGCUGAUUGGUUUCGACUGAGGACGUUGGUCCCAGGAGAAGCGGGUCGAGGAGCCAACGUCAUCUCGUGAACGCUCGUUGGAAACCACAAGUGCCGACUCCAAUCGCACUGACUUCGCUCUCGCUGCCUGAGCAGUGACCGAAGCGUCAGACCGGGCAUCUGCCCUCGUCCCGGACCCUGACGUCAUCUAGAGGGCUUGCUGAUCGACUCCUGUCAGGAGGGUCGAUCGGGACACUUUCCUGACUGGGCCCGUCGGCGACCUGUUCGUGGGAGCGCCGGGGCCGAGAAAAGCGACAUCACGAACUGCACCCGGAGAAGACCUGGCACGGCGCUUUAGGACGCGGGUUCGAUUCCCGCCAGCUCCACCA
rfam:Marmoricola scoriae strain DSM 22127 genome assembly, chromosome: I